AUGCAGAGGUCCGGCGGUUGCAGCCUGUACACGGUGAGACGCAUCAAGCCUGGGGAGCAACUCUUCUACCCAUCCACGGCGGAAGCGCAGGCGGCGGCAGCAACUCAAUCCAAGGACGAGAACACGCCGCCGCCGUCAUCACCCGUUGUUGCCCCGAAGAUGCCACCGCCCAGGCUCAGAUUCGAAGCGUACCGCGUAGACGGCCCAAGGCUCGAUUUUUUGCCCUUCUAUGGACGCGGCGGCGGCGGCGAUGGUAAGAUCCUCUCCAUGGACUCAGCGGGCAACGCCGUGCUUUGCGACGCCGGAAGCUGCUCCGUCCAGCCCGUUGCCUGCCUCAACGAACCCAACGGGGACAGCCCCGUCUCCUUCUCCAUCACUCAUGCGGAGACCUCCCCCUAUGAGUGCACGGCCGUCCAGUCCUACAUGCUGCUGGGUGAUGGCUCGACCGUCUGCGUGUCCUCCGCUGGGCUCAUCGGCACCUACUGCUUCAACACCGUUAGCUGCGCCUGGCAAAAGGCUGGCCGCUGGACCCUGUCGUUCCAUGGACGGGCAGAGCAUGUCCCUGAGCUUCGCAACCUCUGGCUCGGCAUGGCCGGCAACAAUGCCAACAACUUGUGUGCAUUGGACCUCUCGAACCUUGGUUGGGCUCCCAAGUUGCUGCAUGACUGGCAGGCCCGGAUCCGGUUUUCGCGGGCCGUCGGCAAGAUGCGGCGGCGCUGGCAGCUCUGGCCCGCGUGGGCGGCAGGGCGGCUGCGUGUGAUGGGGGUCUGCGGCUCUGGUCGGCAGUGGCUGGAUCUGGAGCGGCCGCUCCCGACCUGCUUCUCCUACUGGACAGCGCUGCUCGCCGGGCCAGCGUUCUGAUCAGCUACCCUGCUCACUCAAUCGGUCAUCGGGAGUGUGUCAGAUCAACUUUGGGCGAAAGCCUUGCUUCACCUAGAGCCGGCGGCGGCGACGCCCAUGGGCGCCGCUAAUCUCCUUGGAGGCGUCGUUGUAUUUGCUGUCUGUACCAUCCUCGUCAAGACCCCGGGGGAAACCCCUAGUCCAGCGGAGAUGCUGGUGCUGUGUUUAUGCUGCCGGCUAGGGUCGACGGUGGUGUGUGAUGUGGUGGUGGUGGCGCGGCCAGCUUGCACUGAAUUUAAGGAGAUUAUAUCCGAUCCAGCUGCCAUGGAGGUUAAGUAUGAAGAGGAAGAUACUGCUUUAAUGUUACUUUGUUCACUGCCAAGUUCUUAUACCAAUUUUAGAGACACCAUAUUAUACAGUCGUGAUACUCUCACACUUAAUGAAGUUUAUGAAGCUUUGAACUCUAAGGAGAAGAUGAAAUUAAUGGUGCCUCAUGAUGUGUCGAGUUCAUCCCAAGCCGAGGGAUUAUCUGUUCGUGGCAGGACAAAGGAGAAGAACUCCAAUAAUGGAAACAGAGGCAAAAGUAAGAACGACUACAGGGGCCGGUUGCAAUCCAGAGACAAGAAAUAUUGCAGAUAUUGCAAGAGGGACGGGCAUAACAUCUCAGAGUGUUUCAAAUUGCAGAAUAAAGAAAAGAGGAAAGGUAACAAACAAGGUGAAAAUUCUGCUAACGUUGCUCGUGAUGAUAGUUCCGAUGAUGCUCUUGUCAUUAUUGCUGGAUGUGCUGAGACCAAUGAUGAGUGGGUACUUGACACCGCAUGCACAUUUCGUAUGUGUCCACAUAGAGAUUGGUUUAAUGCUUUUGAUUCCACUACUUCUGCUGGUUCCGUUUUGGGUUUUGAUAAUUCACCAUGCAAGAUUGAAGUCAUAGGUUCUAUUCGAAUCAAGAUGUUUGAUGACAUAAUCAAAACUUUGACAGAUGUUCAGUAUAUUCCGAAGAUGAAGAGAAAUCUUAUUUCUAUGAGUGCCCUUGAUGCAAAGGGAUACAAGUAUUUAGGUGGAGAUAGUGUUUUGAAAGUCACCAAAGGUUCCCUUAUUGUGAUGAAAGGUGACUUAAGUUCGACCAAUGGUCUUUAUUUCCUUCGAGGUUCUACCGUUUCAGGUAAUGCUACUCCAGUUAUUUCAAAGAAUUCUGAUUGUGAUGCUGCUAACCUUUGGCAUAUGCGUCUUGGACAUAUGAGUGAACUUGGUUUGGCAGAGUUAAAUAAGAGAGGUCUACUUGAUGGAUAUGAACCUGGUAAAUUGAAAUUUUGUGAGCAUUGCAUCUUCGGCAAGCACAAGAGGGUGAAGUUCAACACUUAG
rnacentral:rRNA from 1 species